CGUUUGAAAUAUUUAUAAUAGGGUCAGGGUUCGGUCUAUCGAUCCCCAUCCUCUACAAUCCGGCUAACUCAUCCACAGUCUGUGGCAUGUUUCGCCCCGCUGCCACUUAGUUCUUAAUGAUAGGAAAGUGUGUCAUCUGUUGACCAAAAAUAUAUAUAUAUAUAUGGGCCAUCCAGCGGAUUUCAGGUGAAAUGAUAAACUAGUCUAAACAUAUUUACUUUCUUUCAGAAAGAAAAUAAUGCUAAAAGCAAAUAAAUUAAGUAAUUUAUUUAUUCACCUUACUAUUAAUUUUCCAAUUUUGAGCGUAGAAAUUUUCGUGUGAUAUUUAAAAGUAAUUAAAUGACUAUUUUACAAAUUUGACAGAUAUAUGAUGAACAAUGGAACUUAUAGAAAGGUCAAUGAAAGCGGAGAUUCCCUUUUUAAUACUCCAGUUCUUUUAACUAGUAGUUCUGUAAAAUCAAAUGGUCUUUCUCCCAUACGUAUGCGCUAUUUCGGUAUGAUUAAAUAUGGGCGAUUAAAAUACAUCAGCACCGCGAAGAAAAAUCCGAGGUUAAACUAUUUAACAGUGUAAAUCUUAGAUUAUUAUUUAAUGGUUUAACACUAUCAAUAUUCCACAGGAAGCGUGAAAAGUUUGAUCAUCCGCCAUUUUCAAACUAAUGAAGCUGUGCAAUAAAAAUAUGCUGUAUACAGGAACUUAAUGACAAAACAGAAUUUUAUGAAAAUUAAUUCAAACAUUAUUUUAAUGGGGGACAAACUAUCAAACGGAUACAUUUGAAAAUAAGGCUGAUAAUUAAAUUGAUGCAG
rnacentral:lncRNA from 1 species